rnacentral:sRNA from 1 species
AAGCUGAUCCCCGACCGCUUCGUGGAUGAGGAGAGCUGCCACGGAUGA